GUUUUUAUCUCUUUCUUAUAAAUGAAUAAUUUUGAAUAUAUAUUUAUGUAUCUCACACAUAAUGGUGAUGAUGGAACCUUUUAAAGUGCCUUGGAACAGAUAGUAGUUUUAGUGCAAGACAGACCCAUUAGCUGUCAAACUCAGCUUCCCAUGGGAAGAAAAAUAGAGUCAGUUCUCAGAUAGUGCUAAGAAAAGCUUUCACUUUUUCUAAUACCUUAGGAUAUGAAUUCUUUUGUAAAAAAAAUUGCCUUGGGAAGACUAUGACAGCUCACUGUUAAUGAAGGUCACAAACUGGAAGGAAAAAAAAAAGCUUCUUUGAUCAAAUGAUGUGAAACCUAAAUCAAAGUGAUGCCAUUGAUUCCAGACUAAAAGUGCACAUUUCCAGAGUUUUCAAAUACGCAUGAGUUCUCUGUUUGACUUCACUUUGUAUGAUCUCUAGGCUCAUCCAUGUUGCUUCAAAUGGCAUUAUUUCAUUCUAAUAACAGAGUACUACUCCAUUGUAUACAUGUACCACAUAUCUUUAUGCAUUCGUCUGUUGUGGACACUUAGGUAGUUUCCAUGUCUUGGCUAUUGUGAAUAGUGCUUAUUUGCCACUCUUUUUAUGUGACCUUGCAUUGGUCUUUACUUUCCAGAGCUUCCUGGUGGCUCAGAUGGUAAAAUUGCCUGCUUGCAAUGCUGGAGACCCAGGUUCAAUCCCUGGGUUGGGAAGAUCCCCUGGAGAAGGAAAUGGCAACCCACUCCAGUACUCUUGCCUGGAAAAUUCCAUGGAUGGAGGAACCUCACAGGCUACAGUCCAUGGGGUCACAAAGGGUCGGACACGACUAAGCGACUUUGCUUUCACUUUCACUAUCUCUAUAUUUGUCCUUUAGUCUUUACUGUAAGAUUCCCUCUAGCUCAAGAAUUCUGUAAUGAAUCAAAGUCAUAAUUUUUCUUUCAAUAAAUUUAAUGUCAAGUUAGACCAAAGGUGAGAAGGGAUAGUUAGGGAGUUUGAGAUUGACAUGUGUAUACUGCUAUAUAUAAAGUGGAUAACCAAUAAGGACCUACCAUAUAGCACAGGGAACUCUGCUCAAUGUUAAAUGGCAGCCUGGAUGGGAAAGGAGUUUGGGAAACAAUAGAUACAUGUAUACUUAUGGCUGAGUCCCUUCACUGUCCACCUGAAACUAUCACAAGAUUGAUAAUUGGCUGUACUCCAAUACAAAAUAAAAAGUUUAAUAAUUAAAAUAGAAAGAACUGUGCUGGACUACAAUGUGGAACACAGAUUUUGUGGAAAAUCUGAGAAGGCGGGCCAGUCAGAGCUACACAUUCACAGAAGGGUACUUGAAGGAGAUGAGAUAACUUACAGGAUAGGAAGAAGGAAGGGCUCCCAAGUAAUGGACAAUAGGAGUUAUGAGCCAAAGAUGUGAGCAGUUUCAAGAACCACAGGGGUGUGUUGGAAAGUGUGUGUGUGAGUGAGGAAUGAUGGGCUGACCCCCAAGAUGCUCUUCAGUUGUUUUGCAACUGUGCCGAGAACUCAUCUCCAGCACCAUCCAUGCCUCAGUUUACUUUUCUGUUUAAGAGUCCCAUGGACUCAGGGUGAUGUCCAAUCCAUGGGGUUCUAACUGCCUGCCCUUCUCAUCAGCACAGCAGAAAUCUAUGGCAUCAGAGAGAAUUUUGUUUAACCAGAUUCUAACAUCAAUCUAGUCCUUCCUCUGAAAAGUCUACUUGUUUAAAUGAACUCCAGUAAAAUGUUCAAAAUUGAAAUUACAUGACAAAUUUCAUAGACAAAAAUGACAAAACUCUGUAUCUCUACCAACUCUUGAAAAAUGGGCAAUUUAGAAUUAUUUUUAGCAUUAAACUGUCACCAAAAAAAUAAAACUGUACAUGAAAUUUUAUAAAAAGGGAUUUUUCUCAUGGAAAAAUGAACAUGUACGAAGCACAGUAAAGAUUAACUGCCCAGGAAAACAAAGCUUACUUAUUGUCUGCCUCUUUUUAGAUAUUAAACUUUUUCCCUCCACAAAGGCCUGGUUUGUCCCUUUGGCAGACAAGUCUGUUGUGCUUUUUACUGACAGGGCAGAAAACAGAGUCUGCUCCCCAGUUUGAAAUGAGCUGCCUUCAACAACGCAAUGAAGAGCUCAUUUGUUUUUCUUUGCCUGCAGGAUGGUGUCAGUAGGCCCAAGGUUAUUGAUUUAUCGGGUCGAGGCAGCGGAGGGGAACCGACCCCAUGGCAAGAUUAGAAACGACAGCCAGAUGCAGACCCAGCCUCAGAAACGAUGAGCACUGGUCUCACAGCCAACCCCUCACCACCUCUCCCUGCCGUGCGCGCACUAAUCUCCUGGAUCUGACUUCUCCUUCCGGGUCUGACUUUUCCUUCCGGGUCUGACUUUUCCUUCCGGGCCUGAUCCUCUGCCCACAGGCGCUCAGGCAUCUGUCCUUAUCCUCACGGCUAAAUAAACCCAUUCAGACCCCAAGUUAACGGCGACUGACGGGUCUGUUGGUGAGAAGCUCUGUCUGCAACAUGAUUUCUGACAAGUCGUUUGGCAUAAUUAAAAAAUCGCUUAACAGAGCUAAGAAAAAAC
ensembl:lncRNA